GUUCUAUGUCUGUUCUAUGCCUGUUCUAUGUCUGUUCUAUGUGGCAUAGAACAGACAUAAAACAGGCAUAAAACAGGCAUAGAAC
rnacentral:pre_miRNA from 1 species